AUCUUAUCGAGAGAAGUGGAGGGAACGGCCCAAUGAAACUUCAGCAACCUAAUAGAGAAUGAAAAGGUGCUAAUUCCGAGUAGAUAAGAA
rnacentral:ncRNA from 1 species